rnacentral:rRNA from 1 species
UACGAAGGGGGCUAGCGUUGUUCGGAAUUACUGGGCGUAAAGCGCGCGCAGGCGGUCUUCCAAGUCAGUGGUGAAAGCCCGGAGCUCAACUCCGGAACUGCCAUUGAAACUGUUGGACUUGAGUACGAGAGAGGUGAGUGGAAUUCCCAGCGUAGAGGUGAAAUUCGUAGAUAUUGGGAAGAACACCGGUGGCGAAGGCGGCUCACUGGCUCGUAACUGACGCUCAGGCGCGACAGCGUGGGGAUCAAACAGG